CAGCUUCACCUGGGUCUCCGCCUGUGGUAUCCACCCAUAUCACCCACUUAAGUCCUGGCCCUAGCCAUGGCUGAGGGUGCUGAGGAAUGACUUAUGGAGCAAGAUGAGCCUGUAGGAGUAUGUACUUGUCUCCUCCAGGAAUUAUGCAGGUUGAGUGAGCCUUUAAUGUCAGUGAGGGGAGCUCAAAAGCAGCUGCAUUUCCUCUUGCUUGUGGUGGUGUGAGAGUGCAAGUCAAUGCUACAGUCCAGUGGCUGAGCCUUUGGUCUGCUGCCUGCCAAACAAGCAGAGAUUAAGGCAAGAGUUUUGGGAGAGAAGUCCCCAGGAGCCAAAUGCCUGUUUACAGGAGGUUUGGCACACAGGUAUUUCCCAGAACAGACUCUGAUACGGAUUUUCUGCUCCUAAACAGACACAGGAGAUACAAAGUUGACCAAAGUGGCAUUGUGAUGAUAAAAGCCUGAAACCAAAGCAAGACAAAAGAUUAGCCAUGGCUUUCCAAUUGCUCUGACAACACAUCAAAGCUCCAGAGGACCCAGAAGAUUGAAUUAGCCACUGUCUGAGUCUUCACUGCUGCUCUUACAGACAUGUAUCUGUGUAAGCAACAAAGGGAAUAAGUGAUAUCUCUGGUCUGAAACUUUCAGAAAAGUUAAAUGGGUAUAAGAUGUGCUGUGUGGCCAGGUAUGAAGGCUUUGUGAAGAGGCAGGAGGUGCUCUGCAUUGUGGAUGGGACAAGGAGAGACAGUUUUCUAUGGCAACAAGAGGAAAUAUUCCUGGCAGCUGGCUAGUACUGCCCUAAACUUAAACCAUUUGCAGGGGCCUUGCAAUAUGAAACCUGAGGUCUACUCCACUCAGUGUGGGGUAAGUUAAACAGAAGGACCUCUUCUCCUCUGCUGUUCACUUGUUUACUCUUUCCUACCCCCUUGUCUGCUCCUUGCCUCUGUUGUGAGUCUUGGCACUACCUGUUUGGAAGAAGAGUGCAUGAAAUGGACAACAGCUGCCCAGAGCUGCUGGGACCUCAAAUCCUUUUCUCAGCAAAUAAAUGAGGAGCAACCACACCCAGCAGGAUUGGUGAAAAGAGAGUCACAGACAUGUUGCUGCUACAAGCACCAUGAGGGUUUCUAAAGUGCAUAGAAACUUCUUGUGUUCAGAACUACAACCUUGGACCCCUGCUUCUAUUUAGAUAUGUGCAGAGAGUUCAUCAGAACCAAUCAGCGUUUUAUCCAGAUUUCUGCAGGUAUAAGCUGCUGAAUUGCUCAUUUAAAGUGGCUCAGUGAGUGACACAUUGAUGUGAAGACAGAUUUGGAAAGAAGUCAUGGAGAAAUCAAGGCUGAGCUUGCGGUGGUGAACAACAUGUUCUCUGAACAUCAGCAAGGAUACUUCUGUGACCAUCCCAAAUAACUGACCUUACUGGCUCAGUGCCAUAACAUGCGAGUUUACAGGUACCAUCAAAAUGCAAAACUCAUGAACAUUGCAGCUGCUUUGCACCUCUGACAGCCAAACCAAGCACAAAAUCAGUGUAGACUUGCUCCAUGUGUGUCACUGAAGUCCUUCUACAGGUGGCACCAUCAAUCUAAUUAGAAAAAUCUUCCAGUCUUCCUUUGCCUCCUUCAGGGCCAUAUAAAGAAGAGGCACCAGCAGAAGCCUUCAGCUGUUACAAGCAGUGCUUUUGUAGCUCCAGCUGUUUUCAAUACCCAUUGAUUAGAUCUUCCCUCCUGCUGAGGCCGGGCACUCACCCAUUUCUUCACACUGCACCCAGGGCUCUGCAGCAGCCUUCAGAGACUCUGUGUGAGCCAGUGCCCAGCACAGUCAACGUGAGAGCGGCUGUGAUGGAAUUUUCCUAUGUUGCAAUAUACUUUUGGACAACUUGUUCAUAGGUAUAAUCCAGAUAAAAAUCUCCUGCAACCCAGAUAAAAAUCUCCAGGGCAGUUUUGCUGAAGAUAAGAGAAAUAUUCCUCAUAGGAAUGCAGCAAAUACCUGCCAACUUUCUGACUGAGCAGAAGGUCAUAAAGCAAGUAUAACUCAGAAAAGCAGAGGCAUAUAUAAACAUCAAAAUGAGAGGUGAGAAUUAAAAGCAGCUUUUUGUACAUAUGGGAGUGGAAAACAGCUGAAUAAAACAAACUCAACAUUAAUGCCAGCAUGGUUUUCUGCCUAACAAAAUGCAAAGCCAUAUGUGUGGAGCAAAAGAAAAUGGCCGCACUGAUUUCCAGAGCUGGAAGAAAAGCCAGAAGGAAAAGGAAAGGAAGGGGAAUUGGGAGCAGCAACUACUGGAUGCUGCCAGGAUCUCUGACACCAUAAAGAAUGUUAGAAGAUGUGGGACAAGAACAAGAGUGCAUUAUGAUGUGUUUGUCUUCAGUGAAUACUCAAAGUAGCAGCAACACAAUUCUGUGGAUUGAAAUUCAACCAGUGACACAGCCUCGUCACAGACAGGUCAAUACUUUUGCUGUCAUGGAUAACAGAUGUUGUGUCCAAAGGGGCCAGAAGCCAUCUGCUUAUGUCCUGAUCUACAAAGCUCCACAACUUGAGAGAACAAAGAACCUGGGAGCGUAAAAUGUUGCCUCUGUUGUCCUUUAGAAGUCUGACAAAACUUCCCCUGAAAUCGCAAUUUCUCUGGGCUGCUCAAUCCACUAUUUGGUUGUAGCUGCAUUUCUGUAGAUUAGUCUUUAUUUGUCUUUAUUCUUGCAUUCUGCUGCUGAAGGCUUGUUCUUCCUCAUACCUGGUUUAUCUGUGUUAUUUUACUCUGUUAUAUUGUGUUCUCCGUGGUUUCCCUUUACCAAGAGUGUGUGUUUGCCUUGCUCCUUCCUUGAUGAUUUUGAAGAUCCCUGACCAUUCCUGACCACUGGGUACCCUCAGACCAUCCUUAUUGCUCAGACUUCUGGCCUUAGCUGCACCUUGGUCGAGUUAUUGGAUUUUCUUCUGGGUUAGAAGGUCGUCACUCAGCUGCAAUCUCUCCAUCUACCCUAGUGAUCCUCAUCACAUAACUCCAGAAGCCACAUGAACUUAAAUGGGUCAAAAGAAGAGUGUAGUGAAAUAAGAGGGACCCACAGUAGUUGGAAAUUACAUUAAAGGCUCCCAAGAUCCAGGAAGAUGUAUCUCAUAUUAUUUCUAGCUGUCAGUUCUGGCAAGUAGUUUGUGUAACUAAGUCUCAGCAACCAAAAAAAAUGAGCAUGUUUUUUUUUGUGUCAUCCAGAGCUUGUUAAUGUAAUACGUGCGCUUUGAGUGUUAUGAUUAUUUAUUAUUAAACUGAGGGAAACAUUGCAUGAGUCUGUCAGGCUUUCAGGAAUAGCUUGCUCUCUUGCACAUGCCUUUCCCUCAUGUACAGUUUGGCACCUUUGAGCGCAUUGUUUUUGUCUGUGCUUACUUUAAACUGAGAAGCUUGAAGAAAUGCAGCAACAGCCACAGGGGAAAAGGGAAACCAGUUAUUUAUAGCAUUGAGCAGUUCAGCUUUCAGGAUGAUAAUGAGCAUGUUUAGUUCAAGCAGUGCCCUAAUUCUGAGUGCUUAAGGAUGUCCUGCACUUGAGAUAUUAGGGCUGCUCUUAGCCCAUGUCUCUCCCAUGCCACCAGGGCUGUCUUUGAAAGGACAUUUGUGCUCAGAUGUGUGAGCUAUGAGUCUGAGCUCAGGCAUCACUGGAUGCACCUAGAGACCAUCCAAGACCCAUCUGGGUGGCUCAGCACAGCUGGCAACUUCAUGUGGUGUCAGAAUGGCGAGCCCAUGAGGAGGAGAGCACCUUCUCCUCCAUCUGGAUAGUCAAGAUGGUCUGCAGAGUGCAGAAGGGUUUGCCAGAAGGUGUCUGCUGUGAGGAUGUUUGCAGAUAUGAGACUUGUCUGAGAUGGUACAGGGCUAUGUGAUGCUGCCAAAAAGCAGAAUGUUACAGUUACUUUAGUGCCUUCUGGACUCUCCCUGCCAUCCAGGACUUAGAGUGCCAAUACAUCUUUGCCCUGUGAUAGCAACCCCUCACUGAUCAUGAACAGCCCUUUUCAGAGGGAAGGAGAGGCUCAGAGAACAGCAAUUGUACCUCAGCAAAAGUGUACAUCCCUCUCUGCUUCCCCACACAAUACUUUGGGAGAUUGAAGUACAGUGACCCUGCUCUUGAGAAAGCUGUGGGUUCGAGGCAAAGAAUUCAAGUUAUUACAAGAUGUUGAGCACACAGAUCUCUCCUUGGCUGUCUGCAAAGUGUUGCCUGGAAGUUGAGAAAGGCUCUUACCCCAGACAAGAAGUAUUAUGACACUUUCCACACAUACAGAAUGUGUUCUUGUGGCAUGGAAAGAAACAGCAGCUGCAACAGCAUUGCAGAAGAAGUGGAGAAUUUUAGAGUGCUGCCAAUAAAGUCUUUUCAUCUCAAGUCUGAGCUUACAGAACCUUCUGACUUGUACAACAAUCUUUCCAAAUGACAUCUCUGAGAUAACACUCACGAUUAAUGUAUGCUGGAAGAAUUUGUGUGACUCCUGAUUUCAGUCCACGCCCAAAAUCAAGAUUGGCAACAGAAAAGGGUUCCAGCUAAGAAAUUUUAAGCAGCCUUAAUAGUCUUAGGAAAACAAACAAACAAAUACCAAAAAAGAGCAGAGAUAUAACAGCAUAAAUUCUGGGUAACAAAGGAUGCUGGCCACAAGCUUGAGAAGAUUGAGCUCGCCCCCUCACGCCAUUAAUGAGAGCACACCAAUCAACAGCAGGGCUAAUUGGCUCCUCAGUUCACUGCUUCACCUUCCUGGCAGGUCCUGGCCAGCCUAACUGUGGAAGGUUUCAUUGUGAGAAUUGAAUGCUGAUCGAACCGAGCCGCCCCAGCUGAAUGAAGCGUGACCCAUGUACACCUCUCCAUUGAGCGGGAGUCACUUAGGUGAAUUACUAUUAAAAGAGUAAAAAUCAAAGCAACGCAAUCACAUUUACAGACUGUUGCUGUAUUUGAUGGAGGUAUUUAAUUAGACAACCAGAAUGUGGUGUUGUGGCUUGCACAGGGCUGAGGUGGAGCAGGAGCAAAUUCUGACAGGCCCACUUUUCAACAGGGCCAACCCACAUUGAAUGGGAUGUGUGUGGGUUCCUCAGAGGCACAAGCUCACCAAAGAGGGGUGCCAGGAGCAAGUCAAAUUGUCAAAUCCACUACUGCUUGCUAGCAGCAGCAUGUGUGCUUUUACCCCAGUUAGGGACAGGAAUAAUGUGUGAUGACCUAAAACCUCAAAUCAAGGCUACACCUUUGGCACCCCCCUGUCCAAACUGCACAGCAAUUACACAUCCACUUGAUCUGGAGAGGUGAGAAAUACCUGUCACUUGAAGGAGCUUCAGCUGAAUGUGAACGGCCCAGCAUGUUUCUGCCUGGAUUCAUUGCUUAGGAAAAAGGCCUGUUAAUAGUCUUAGCUGAUACCAGUCAUAGCCUAACAUUGGAAUUACCAUUUUGAGAGCCUCACUUAGGUCUCUGGUGUCACCCUAAUGACUAACACAUUAACAGCUCUGAAAAUCCAUGUGCAAAGGAAUUGCCUAAAAAGCACUGUUUUGUGCCACUGUUUUGUGGUAGUAUCCAAGAGCUGAGACACAAUUACUGAAUGUUUAGCGUCUUGUCAUCUCUAGACCACCGGGGUGAAAGUGGAGUAAAUUAUACCUGCUGGAUAAGAACGCAUUGAUUGAUUGCAAAGGGUGAGAGGUCUCUGUGUGGUUUGUAUUAAAUUUGUCAUGCCUCUUAGCAAGCGUGCUGGAGUUGCAUGGGAAGCAAUCUUGGCAUAGGAUGGGGAUGACCAAUGGCACUUCAUGGUCUUGCGCCACUGAAAAACUGCAAAAGUUGUUUCUGCCUGUAGAAGAAAAAGCCACAACCCCAAAUCAAAAUUCAUAUCCCUGCUAAAUACUAAAAUUCCCCCUCAGCCUAGAAUGGCAGUAGUAUCAGCUCCCAGGUAAAUCUAAAGGCUGAAAAGCUCUGCCACUGAACUUCAGCCCUCCACUGGUAUGGACAACUUAAUUUCCUUUAUGAACAACCAAAUGGCUAUGCUUCCCUGAGACAGGGGAGGUGGCAGUUUUCUCCAUUCCAAAACAAAGAGUUUUUAACAUGGCACUGAUUUUAUUAAAAUAUUUGGCUCUUUAAAAAAAGUUUACCAGUUUACUAGAGCCUAAAAAGCAGAUGUGGUGGAUAUAAAUGAAAUAGAAAUAGUAAAGAGCUCAACAGUGACAGAUGGGCUGAGCCCAGGCUCUGGAAGCAACUACAAAAAAUAAUCAGAUUGAAAAGUUGAAAGAAUUAAGACUUCUUACAUUUGCAGACAAAACUGGAGUCAAGCAAUAUAUUUAUUUAUUUUUAAAAUAAAAGUUCGGUUAAGAUUUCCAUACCUUCAAAUAAAAAAAUAGAAGCUGCUCUGGCAGGGUUUUUUGUUUUUUUUUUGUUUUGUAUUUGUUUUUGGGUUUUGUUGUCUUUUUAAAUAAAACCUCCUCAUCCGAGCACAGCAUUAGUAACUACUGUAAUUCUGAAAAAAACAUUUCAGGAAAUGUUUGUAACGUCUCAACAGACUCAAGGCAAGAUUGAUUUGGGGAAAUGACAAAUGGCCAUUAAUCCAGGAAACUGGCCCUUUAAUGAAAUAGCUUAAAGAGCAGCACAGGAAAAGAUGAUCAAAGGCAGAUCCUUUCUUAGUAACUACAAAUGUGGCGCAGAGAUAAGAAGAGUGAACAAGUGUCUGAUUGCCUUUUACAAUGAGAUUAUUACUCUGUGUGAUCAUUAGAUAUGAAUGAGGUCUUUUAAUCACUGUUGCUCGGUCUGGUCGUUGCCCAUCGGCUGAAUUCUAACAGAGGUGUGGUGUAAUUUAUUUAAUAUUAAUAAAGACAUUCCCUCCCUCACCAAAUAACUCACUAUCUGUUUUGGCUUGCAGACCUUGCAGAGCAAUGGGAUGGUGCUGUCUGCCAGCUUUUGGCCAUUGCUUUUGGCUAGUGAAUGAAUCAUGAAACCUUUACCACUUUGAAAUUUCUGCAAAACAGCAAUUUGCAAUUUCCUCACUGAGCUGCCUCUGUGCAAAUCUCAUCCUUUAUCCCUCAAUUCCUUGAAGUAUAGCAUUUUCUAUAAGACACUCUGAAAUCUUGAAUUCUGCUGUGAUAAGCUGCUGUCCACAGCUGGGCUCUGUCACACUGGUAACUACUGGUGUAUCAAGGACUACUGGAUUUCUAGGUGCUAUGGUGUCCUGCCCCAUUCUCAGCUUUCCACUUUGCAGCUGCCCAGAUUUUCCUUACAACUGGCUAUUCC